rnacentral:lncRNA from 1 species
CUUUGCUUAUUUUUUUUUUCAAAGUCUGUGGAUGGAAAGGAACAAUUAAAGCAACUGAGGGAGUUCAUACCGUUUGUGGAAAGCAGUUUGGAUCGGGAAAAGAAGAAAACUGAUGGAUUAGAAAAAGAGCUUACUGGAUUGAAGGAACGCUUGGAAAUGGCAAGAAGGGAAGUAAAUGAACAUGAAAAAGGAGAGCUUAGUGCCCAAGGUGUUGUAAAAAGCAGUCCAACUGAAAUGGAUAUUCAGAUAGAUACGCUAAAACAUAAGGUAAUUUGUAUUCAGUUUGGGGGCCCCAAAAACUCUUAAUUUGGGGAAUUAUAAAUCACUCAGUGCUUUGAGCAGUGAACCACAGAUUUUCCCUUUAGUUUUAUAGAUGUUACAUGAGUAAGACAGACACCUUUUUCCCUAUUCAAAAGAGCACACUGUUAGUUCCCUUCUGUCUUGAACCCUGGCCAGUGAUGUGAAGCUGAACAGCACACCAUUCCUGAUCCCAAAGCAUCAGCUAUUUUUUGAUAACAGCUUUAGUGAAAUAUAAAACGUUCAUGUAAAUUGUACCGUUCAGUGACAUAGAGUGUAUUCCUAGAGUUAUGCAGUUGUCAUCACAGUCAAUUUUAGAACAUUGUCAUCACCCAACAAAGAAACCCUAUACCUUCUAGCCAACACCCUGUGCCAGUGUCCCCUUCCCCACUCUUCCCAAACCUGGGGAACCACUACUCUCUUCCCUGUCUCUGUAAGAGGAUUUGCCUUUUCUGGGUGUUUCAUAUCAAUAGAAUCACACAAUGUUUUCAAGGUACAUCGAUUUUGUAGCAGGUAUCGGCACUUCAUUUCUUUUUAUUGCUGAACAUUACAACAUGUUAGGGACAGACCACAUUUAUUUAUCCAUUCAUCAGGUGCUAGACCUUUGAGCUGUUUCCACUUUUUGGCUAUUGUUAAUAAUGCCAGUGUGAACAUUUGUAAUAUAACAGCAGGUUUCGGUAUAAAUGCAUGUUUCCUUCCUUUUGGGACUAUAGUCAUGACUGGCCUUGCUGUAUCAUAUGGUAAUUGUUUAGCUUUUCGAGGAACUGCCAUACUGUUUUCCAGAGUGGCUGCACCAUUUUACAUUUUUAUCCAAAGUGUGUAAGCAUUUCAAUUUCUAUACAUGCUUGUCAACACUUACUGUGACCUGUUGUUUUGCUUAUAGCCAUCCUAGUAGGUGUGAAGUGGCCUCUCAUUGUGGUUUGGAUUUGCAUUUUUCUGAUGACUAAUAUUGUUAAGGAUCUCUU